rnacentral:SRP_RNA from 1 species
UUAAAGAAUAAAAAUAAUUAUUGAUUUAUUAUAUUAUUUAUUGUAUAAUAAUAAGACAGAGGUGCUUUUACACCUUCAGCGUAGCGUAUGGGCCCUGUGCGACAGGAUGCUACGAACCUUGUCAGGCGGGGAACCGAGCAGCAAUAAGUGGAUUAUUCUGUGUGCCUCAGACAAGUCUGUACGUUACGUUGAGGGCGUAGAAGCAUUUUAAUUCUUUAA